AGCACAGGAGGCUAGCAGCCCUGUCACACUGGCUCAGGAAUUUGAUUUUUCUUAUUCUAAGAGUGAAGAGGCAGACAAGCAGGAGGAAAGCAGGCGGUUAAAAGUCCAUGACAGUACUCAAGAACAAAGUGGAUAGAUUAGGUCUCAGAGAUCCUGUUUGACCCCAGGCAAAGAGUAACAAAGAGGGGGAAUCCAAAGAGAAAAACAAAAGAUACAAUUCAAGGAAACUUCUUCUUUUUUCUUUUUCUAGGAAACCUCUAAUCUCUUUACUGAGAGCUCAGACUUCUGGAAUAGCCCUCUCAGUCUUGGUCUUACUAGUUGACCCCACUAAUGCAGACUCUCUCCGAGAGGAUUUAAUACGCAAAUACACACAGAGAGUCUCCCAGAGAAAGAGGAUGCUGUCUUUCUGAAAUGUAUCAAAUGACUAAAUCGCCUUGAUGAAGAGUAGUUCAUGGGGUAGUUUUCUGUGGAGCAUGAUUUGGAAAUACACAGCAGGUCUCAGCGGGAAAUAUUUGUAGACCAUCUCUUAGGACAAACGAUGUAUUUUAUUUUUCAGCAUUCAUGGAACAAGGUGAUUUUUCUUCCUUGUCUUAUUUUUAGAAGUUGUUCUCUGUCUGGAUACUACUCAGUAAGCUUUAAUUCCAAUAAUAUUGACAUU
rnacentral:lncRNA from 1 species